rnacentral:rRNA from 1 species
AGAGGAGCUUGCUCUUCUUGGAUGAGUUGCGAACGGGUGAGUAACGCGUAGGUAACCUGCCUGGUAGCGGGGGAUAACUAUUGGAAACGAUAGCUAAUACCGCAUGAAAUUGAAUAUCGCAUGAUAAUUGAUUGAAAGGUGCAAUUGCAUCACUACCAGAUGGACCUGCGUUGUAUUAGCUAGUUGGUGAGGUAACGGCUCACCAAGGCGACGAUACAUAACCGACCUGAGAGGGUGAUCGGCCACACUGGGACUGAGACACGGCCCAGACUCCUACGGGAGGCAGCAGUAGGGAAUCUUCGGCAAUGGGGGGAACCCUGACCGAGCAACGCCGCGUGAGUGAAGAAGGUUUUCGGAUCGUAAAGCUCUGUUGUAAGAGAAGAACGGGUGUGAGAGUGGAAAGUUCACACUGUGACGGUAUCUUACCAGAAAGGGACGGCUAACUACGUGCCAGCAGCCGCGGUAAUACGUAGGUCCCGAGCGUUGUCCGGAUUUAUUGGGCGUAAAGCGAGCGCAGGCGGUUAGAUAAGUCUGAAGUUAAAGGCUGUGGCUUAACCAUAGUAUGCUUUGGAAACUGUUUAACUUGAGUGCAGA